CACAUUUAAAAGGUUUUUCAUUUGCUCCGGCAGAUACGUCUGGCGCCCCCUCACAUUUAGACAGGUUUCCAGCCGACCAGGCCCUGGACGGGCCAAUUACAACUGGUUAUCUCACUUGGGAUUA